ACGGAAGGCAGCAGUGGGGAAUAUUGCACAAUGGGGGAAACCCUGAUGCAGCAACGCCGCGUGAAGGAAGACGGUCUUCGGAUUGUAAACUUUUGUUCUUAGUGAAGAUAAUGACGGUAGCUAAGGAGCAAGCCACGGCUAACUACGUGCCAGCAGCCGCGGUAAUACGUAGGUGGCAAGCGUUGUCCGGAAUUACUGGGUGUAAAGGGAGCGCAGGCGGGAAAUCAAGUUGGAUGUGAAAUGUCGGGGCUCAACCCCGGAACUGCAUCCAAAACUGAUUUUCUUGAGUGAAGUAGAGGUAGGCGGAAUUCCGAGUGUAGCGGUGAAAUGCGUAGAUAUUCGGAGGAACACCAGUGGCGAAGGCGGCCUACUGGGCUUUAACUGACGCUGAGGCUCGAAAGUGUGGGGAGCAAACAGGAUUAGAUACCCUGGUA
rnacentral:rRNA from 1 species